UACAGAGGUCCCAAGCUUUGUUCGGAUUCACUGGGCGUAAAGGGUGCGUAGGUGGCGAGGUAAGUCGGAUGUGAAAGCUCGGAGCUCAACUCCGAAAUGGCAUUGGAAACUACCUUGCUCGAGGGUUGGAGGGGGGACUGGAAUUCUCGGUGUAGCAGUGAAAUGCGUAGAUAUCGAGAGGAACACCAGUGGCGAAGGCGAGUCCCUGGACAACUCCUGACACUGAGGCACGAAAGCUAGGGGAGCAAACAGG
rnacentral:rRNA from 1 species